rnacentral:rRNA from 1 species
AGUGAACGCUGGCGGCAGGCCUAAUACAUGCAAGUCGAACGGCAGCACAGUGGAGCUUGCUCCAUGGGUGGCGAGUGGCGGACGGGUGAGGAAUACAUGGGACUCUGCCCAGUCGUGGGGAUAACGUAUGGAAACGUACGCUAAUACCGCAUGCGCCCUUCGGGGGAAAGUCGGGGACCGCAAGGCCUGACGCGAUUGGAUGAGCCCAUGUUCGAUUAGCUAGUUGGCGGGUAACGGCCCACCAAGGCGACGAUCGAUAGCUGGUCUGAGAGGAUGAUCAGCCACACUGGAACUGAGACACGGUCCAGACUCCUACGGGAGGCAGCAGUAGGGAAUAUUGGACAAUGGGCGCAAGCCUGAUCCAGCCAUGCCGCGUGAGUGAAGAAGG